rnacentral:rRNA from 1 species
UACGUAGGGGCUAGCGUUAUCCGGAAUUACUGGGUGUAAAGGGUGUGUAGGCGGGAAGGCAAGUCAGAUGUGAAAUCCCAGGGCUUAACUCUGGAGCUGCAUCUGAAACUGUUUUUCUUGAGUACUGGAGAGGAAAGUGGAAUUCCUAGUGUAGCGGUGAAAUGCGUAGAGAUUAGGAGGAACACCAGUGUCGAAGGCGGCUUUCUGGACAGUAACUGACGCUGAGGCGCGAAAGCGUGGGGAGCAAACAGGAUUAGAUACCCCUGUAGUCCCU